AACAGGUGCUAAUACCGGAUAACAACCAAAACCACCUGGUUGUGGUUUAAAAGAUGGCUUCGGCUAUCAGCUUUAGGAUGGACCCGCGGCGUAUUAGCUUGUUGGUAAGGUAACGGCCUACCAAGGCAAUGAUACGUAGCCGACCUGAGAGGGUAAUCGGCCACAUUGGGACUGAGACACGGCCCAAACUCCUACGGGAGGCAGCAGUAGGGAAUCUUCCACAAUGGACGAAAGUCUGAUGGAGCAACGCCGCGUGAGUGAUGAAGGGUUUCGGCUUGUAAAACUCUGUUGUUGGAGAAGAACAGGUGUGAGAGUAACUGUUCACAUCUUGACGGUAUCCAACCAGAAAGCCACGGCUAACUACGUGCCAGCAGCCGCGGUAAUACGUAGGUGGCAAGCGUUGUCCGGAUUUAUUGGGCGUAAAGCGAGCGCAGGCGGUUUCUUAGGUCUGAUGUGAAAGCCUUCGGCUUAACCGGAGAAGUGCAUCAGAAACCAGGAGACUUGAGUGCAGAAGAGGACAGUGGAACUCCAUGUGUAGCGGUGAAAUGCGUAGAUAUAUGGAAGAACACCAGUGGCGAAGGCGGCUGUCUGGUCUGUAACUGACGCUGAGGCUCGAAAGCAUGGGUAGCGAACAGGAUUAGAUACCCUGGUAGUCCAUGCCGCAAACGAUGAGUGCUAAGUGUUGGAGGGUUUCCGCCCUUCAGUGUUGCAGCUAACGC
rnacentral:rRNA from 1 species